UCCAAAAACACGAAAAUUUCGAUGGAAAUAUCGGGAUAUUAUGGAUAUUUUAGACCAUGAUUUUAAGUGAAUCAAACAACAAAUGGAAGGUCUCUCUAGCACCAAAUUUUGUGUUUGAAGUUGUUGUAGGUUGGCUCAAAUCAGUCGAUGAUAAGUUCCUUGCGCAACAAGCAUAAAGAUUUUAAGUCGUCCCACAAAAUCCAGCUUUUUACGUCUCACUUUUGUAUUCUUGAUAUUCUUUUGGAGUUGGUGAAUAUCGUUCAUGGAAAAUGCCCGACUCGGUGGUGUGGUAGCUGAUGUACUACCACGUAUGUAAGAUUAGCAGUCACGGCAUUGCCUUCGGUGCAUCAUGCAGUCGACGACUUUUUGAGAUGAAGAUUUGUUGGAAUCAUGGACGUUUUUCUGUAGUCAUAUGGUUGGCAUGUUUUGGUGGUAGUUGAAGAUGUUCUGUUGUAUUCAUAUGCUUUUAGUGUAUCAUGCCCUGUGCAUUAUCUGUGCUUUUGUAAGAAUCGCUUCUGUGGUCUCGUGAUCAAAAAGAUAUAUAUUCGGUUGUAGGACAUAAUUUCUCCUUGAACGAGGCGAUUAAAUUUUGGAGGAAUUCUUUUGUCCAAUUAAAUUUCUUUUCUUG